AACGAGAGAAUUGCUAGCUUGCUAAUAAUUCUCUAGUGGCGCACGGGUGAGUGACACGUGAGUAACCUGCCCCCGAGAGCGGGAUAGCCCUGGGAAACUGGGAUUAAUACCGCAUAGUAUCGAAAGAUUAAAGCAGCAAUGCGCUUGGGGAUGGGCUCGCGGCCUAUUAGUUAGUUGGUGAGGUAACGGCUCACCAAGGCGAUGACGGGUAGCCGGUCUGAGAGGAUGUCCGGCCACACUGGAACUGAGACACGGUCCAGACACCUACGGGUGGCAGCAGUCGAGAAUCAUUCACAAUGGGGGAAACCCUGAUGGUGCGACGCCGCGUGGGGGAAUGAAGGUCUUCGGAUUGUAAACCCCUGUCAUGUGGGAGCAAAUUAAAAAGAUAGUACCACAAGAGGAAGAGACGGCUAACUCUGUGCCAGCAGCCGCGGUAAUACAGAGGUCUCAAGCGUUGUUCGGAAUCACUGGGCGUAAAGCGUGCGUAGGCUGUUUCGUAAGUCGUGUGUGAAAGGCGCGGGCUCAACCCGCGGACGGCACAUGAUACUGCGAGACUAGAGUAAUGGAGGGGGAACCGGAAUUCUCGGUGUAGCAGUGAAAUGCGUAGAUAUCGAGAGGAACACUCGUGGCGAAGGCGGGUUCCUGGACAUUAACUGACGCUGAGGCACGAAGGCCAGGGGAGCGAAAGGGAUUAGAUACCCCUGUAGCCCUGGCAGUAAACGGUGCACGCUUGGUGUGCGGGGAAUCGACCCCCUGCGUGCCG
rnacentral:rRNA from 1 species